rnacentral:rRNA from 1 species
UCGUAAGAAAAAAAAUAAUUGGGAAAGACGAAUAAAUCUUCUUUUAUUGAACGUGUUUGUUCACUUUGACAAGUUUCUCAUACGAUGAUAUUUUAUCAUACUAAUUUUAUCCUUGGGAGUGGAAUAAUAGCUGGAAAUGGCUGUUAAUAACUCGUAGGCUGAGCAGCAAAAGGAGGAAUCCUCCGGAGGAGAGGCUCACGUCUAAUUUGCUAGUUGGUGAGGCAAUAGCUUACCAAGGUGAUGAUCAGUAGCUGGUUUAAGAAGAUGAUCACCCACACUGGGACAGAGACAUGGCUUAGACUCCUACGGGAGGCAGCAGUGGGAAAUUUUCCACAAUGGAUGAAAGCCUGACAGAGCAAUGCCACAUGUAGGUAGAAAGGCCUACCGUCAUGAACUUCUUUUCUUGGAGAAGAAACAAUGAUGGUAUAUAGGGAAUAAGCAUCAGCUAACUCUGUGCCAGCAGCUAUGGUAAUACAGAGAAUGCAAGUGUUAGGUCCACCGUCAAAUCCCAGGGCUCAACCCUGGAUAGGUGGUGGAAACUACCAAGUUGGAGUAUGGUAGGGGCACAGGGAAUUUUUGGUGGAGCGGUGAAAUGCGUAGAGAUUGGAAAGAACACCAACAGCAAAAGCAUUUUGAUGGGCCGACACUGACACUGAGAGGUGAAAGCUAGGGGAGCGAAUGGGACUAGAUACCCUAGUAGUCCUAGCCGUAAAUGAUGGAUGCUAGGUGUUAUGCAUAUCGAUCCGUGCAGUGCUAUAGCUAAUGCAUUAAGUGUCCCACCUGGGGAGUACAUUCACAAGAAUGAAACUCAAAAGAAUUGAUGGGGGCCCGCAUAAGCGGUGGAGCAUGUGGUUUAAUUUGAUGCAAAGCGAAGAACCUUACCAGGGCUUGACAUGCCACGAAUCCUCUUUAAAGAGAGGGGUGCCUUUGGGAACGCAGGCACAGGUGGUGCAUGGCUAUCAUUAGCUUAUGUCGUAAAGUGUUGGGUUAAGUCCGGCAACGAGUGCAACCCUUGUGUUUAGUUGCCACCGUUGAGUUUGGAACCCUGAGCAGAUUGCCGAUGAUAAGCCAAAGGAAGGUGAGGAUGACAUCAAGUCAUCAUGCCCCUUAUGCCCUGGCCGACACAUGUGUUACAAUGGCUGGGACAAAGGGUCACAAUCCUGCGAGGGUGAACUAACUAAAAAAACCCAUCCUUAGUUCGAAUUGUAGGCUGCGACUUGCCUACACGAAGCCGGAAUCACUAGUAAUUGCCGGUCAGCCAUACGGUGAUGAAUUCCUUCUCAGGCCUUGUACACACCACCCAUCGCACUAUGGGAGCUGGCCAUGCCUGAAUUCAUUACCUUAAGCACAAAAAGGGGGAUGGCGAAGGCAGGGCUAAUGACUGGAGUGAAGUUAUAACAAGGUAGCCGUACUGGAAAGUGCGGCAG